UCCUUGGGAUAGUGGUAGUUUUACAAUCCCAAUAGUCGUACCUUAACCGAGCCAAAACGACAAAAAGUUCUCUUAACCAUUAAUUACUAAUCAAAACGCUGAAACUCUCACUGAGGAAACAUAGGAAGCAAAGGGCAACGAUGAAGACGAUCAAAGUCAUAGUACUGAUAGUAGCUUUCAUCCUCGCACUUUCUCUUUUGUCGUUUCCUUCAGUCGGAUUCCAAUCCGACGAGCUGCUCGUUGACGACGAAGAGUUUGGAUUCGAGGGGGCUCCCCAACUUCGCUCCCCUGAACUAUUCUCCACCGGAUCCGCACUAGUAACAACCCCGAUCCGGAAGAGACUUUCGGAUCUCGAUUCUCGAUUCUGAUUCUAAGAUCCAUUUCUCUCUUGACCACGCUUUCGGUGACUCCGAUUUCUCUCCCGCUGGCACUUUCUCCGCCCGCGUUAAAAACUUGGAGCCAUGGUGGCCAGAGAUGUCUUCCAAGGGAGGGUUUGGAUGAGCAUUUUGUAAUACACAUGGAGGGUGUAAAUGUUUUGGCAGUCAAUUAUGGUUCUCCUGGUUCUCCCCAUAUCCUCGGAAUUUGAAACUACCUGCAAAGUGGUCCUUCAGCUCACAUACAGUUUUGAAGAACAGUGAGCAGGCACCGACGUAUGUUUCUUUCGAAAUUGUUCUUUCUCACUUUUUGCAUCCUAGCUUUUCUUUUUCAACAUUAGCAUUAUCUGUUCUUGGGAAAUGGGAUAUUUUGUUCAACAUAUAUUAUCGAUAGAUCUAGCAAUUUGUGUGUUUUUAUCAUAUCUCAUAUUGUGUUUGAUAUGUGUAAUGAUACGAAUUAUUAAAACAUGAAUAUGACACGUUUAAUAUACGUAUUAUAUGCGAUACGA